rnacentral:misc_RNA from 1 species
GAUGAAGAACGCAGCGAAAUGCGAUACGUAAUGUGAAUUGCAGAAUUCAGUGAAUCAUCGAAUCUUUGAACGCAUAUUGCGCUCUUUGGUAUUCCGAAGAGCAUGCUUGUUUGAGUAUCAGUAAACACCUCAACCUCUUCUUGAUUUUUCAAAAGGAGGGUGGACUUGAGCUAUCCCAACAACCUUUACCGGUCGGCGGGCGGCUUGAAAUGCAGGUGCAGCUGGACUUUUAUCUGAGCUAAAAGCAUAUCUAUUUAGUCCUCGUCAAACAGGAUUAUUACUUUUGCUGCAGCUAACAUAAAGGAUAAUUGUCCUCUUUGCUGACUGAUGAAGGAUUUUACGACACUUUAUGUGUUGUUCAACUCGAUCUCAAAUCAAGUAAGACUACCCGCUGAACUUAAGCAUAUCAAUAAGCGGAGGA